UACGUAGGGGGCAAGCGUUGUCCGGAUUUAUUGGGCGUAAAGAGCGUGUAGGCGGCCUGACAGGUCUGCUGUGAAAACUCGAGGCUCAACCUCGAGAUGUCGGCGGAAACCGUCUGGCUAGAGUCCGGAAGAGGAGAGUGGAAUUCCUGGUGUAGCGGUGAAAUGCGCAGAUAUCAGGGAGAACACCUAUGGCGAAGGCAGCUCUCUGGGACGGUACUAACGCUGAGACGCGAAAGCGUGGGGAGCGAACAGG
rnacentral:rRNA from 1 species